GGGGGGCUAGUUUAGCGGCAAAACGCGCGGUUGUGGCCCGCGCAAGGUCGGUUCGAGUCCGACGCCUCCCUCCA
rnacentral:tRNA from 1 species